UUAUGACAUAAGUAUUUACUAAUUUAUCAUAAUAAUAUAAAAAUAGUUUCUUUUUUAACAUAUCUCGAUAUAUAAAUGCAUCUAGUUUGUUAAGUUGUUAUUUAUAAAACAACUAAAAUAUGGCAACUAAUUCUGUGUAUUCCUCAAUUAACAAGUUUAGGAUAUCAAGAAGAGGAAGAAAGUUACAAACUUCGGAUGAUCAAAGGACGCUAGCCGCACUGCCAAAGGAUGUUCCUGAAAGAACAUGGGCGGAAAUACUCCAAAAGGAAGAAAACGACUUGGUAAUCUUUGACAUCCGUGAAGAAAUUAUUGAAGAGGCACUGAGAAUUGGUUAUGAUCACUACAUGGAGAGGCAAACUGUGUUUUUCACCGCGCACUGUGCAGCUCAAGCGUGGCUCAAGUUGAUUGAUUGGAAUUUCUAUCGACACGACCCUGGCGAAGACCCAAGUGCAUAUCCACCCUGUAAUAUCCCAAAACGAGUGGAGUCGUGGAUACCUGAUGAGCUACCAGACCCGUCACCAAAAGACACCUGGUGUCGCAACGAUCUGAAUAUAGUGGAGGACACCUCAGAAGAAGUGCUGGAGAAAUGGCCAAGUAAUCAUUCACUAGAUGUCCCAGUUGUCGAAGAGAUUCCAUCAGAAUACUGGUUUCCAGGGAAAAUUAACGUGCCCGAAGAAUUUAGAAGAACUCGUGAGAAGAAUGCUAAUAUUUUUGAUGUCGACUCGAGCGUGAUUCCGUCAACGUCGACCGGUGAGAAUCUAGCAGCUGAAAGCGAGGUGUUGCAGAAAGUCACUGACUACAGCAUGGAGGAAUUAACGCAGAAGGAAUCUGCCUUUAGCGCCUUGAAGACUAUAACGCCCGUAGAUGGUUCGUUGCACGGCGCUGGCGAUUCUGCGGUGGACCGGCUGAAGCCCAAGAGAAGGCAGUCGGAGAAGAGCAAAGUGUUUAAUAGAGGCAGUUUGCUUGGAAGAUCAAAAAAUGCGCUGCCUCCGCUGGACAUCGGUGAUUCGAGGUCACGCAUCAGUGUCAUCUCGGAUUGUCGUUUGAGAAAUCUAAGAGGGUAACAUCAGAGUCGUGAGGGAAGGGAUUAUUAGUAAUGGGGCUGCCAGAGGAAGACGCCGCUCACUUCAGUCCUGUCGUGAGCAUGACGUGGUGCAAUUUACGUCAAAACGUCGGCAAUAAAGAAACAGAUUAGACAUGCAAUACGAGGUGUCGUCGGAGAAAAUUGAUACACCACCCGGUGAACAUGGGAAACGAAAUUAAUUUGUAAAAUUAUAGAAAUAACACAAAUUCUUGUAUUAAAAUUUCAGUCACU